AUUGAACGCUGGCGGCAUGCUUUACACAUGCAAGCCGAACGGCAGCGCGGGCUUCGGCCUGGCGGCGAGUGGCGAGCGGGUGAGUAAUACAUCGGAACGUGCCCAGUAGUGGGGGAUAGCUCGGCGAAAGCCGGAUUAAUACCGCAUACGACCUGAGGGUGAAAGCGGGGGAUCUUCGGACCUCGCGCUAUUGGAGUGGCCGAUGGCAGAUUGGCUAGUUGGUGGGGUAAAGGCCUACCAAGGCGACGAUCUGUAGCUGGUCUGAGAGGACGACCAGCCACACUGGGACUGAGACACGGCCCAGACUCCUACGGGAGGCAGCAGUGGGGAAUUUUGGACAAUGGGCGAAAGCCUGAUCCAGCAAUGCCGCGUGUGUGAUGAAGGCCUUCGGGUUGUAAAGCACUUUUGGCGGGAACGAAUAGGACUGUGCCAAUACCACGGUUCGAUGACGGUACCCGCAGAAUAAGCACCGGCUAACUACGUGC
rnacentral:rRNA from 1 species